CGGCGAGUGAAGCGGCAACAGCUCAAAUUUGAAAGCUGGCCCUUUCAGGGUCCGCGUUGUAAUUUGUAGAGGAUGAUUCGGCGAGGGCUCCCGCCUAAGUCCCCUGGAACGGGGCGUCAUAGAGGGUGAGAAUCCCGUAUGCGGUGGGCUGCCUUAGCCGUGUGAAUCUCCUUCGACGAGUCGAGUUGUUUGGGAAUGCAGCUCUAAAUGGGAGGUAAAUUUCUUCUAAAGCUAAAUACCGGCCAGAGACCGAUAGCGCACAAGUAGAGUGAUCGAAAGAUGAAAAGCACUUUGGAAAGAGAGUUAAAAAGUACGUGAAAUUGUUGAAAGGGAAGCGCUUGCAACCAGACUUGUCCGCAGUUGCUCAGCCGGUCUCCUGACCGGCGUACUCUUCUGCGGCCAGGCCAGCAUCAGUUCGGGCGGUCGGAUAAAGACCUCGGGAAUGUAGCUCCUCUCGGGGAGUGUUAUAGCCCGGGGUGGAAUGCGGCCAGCCUGGACUGAGGAUCUCGCUUCGGCAAGGAUGCUGGCGUAAUGGUUGUAAGCGGCCCGUCUUGAAACACGGACCAAGGAGUCUAACAUCUAUGCGAGUGUUUGGGUGUCAAACCCAUACGCGUAAUGAAAGUGAACGGAGGUGGGAACCCGCAAGGGCGCACCAUCGGCCGAUCCUGAUGUCUUCGGAUGGAUUUGAGCAAGAGCAUAGCUGUUGGGACCCGAAAGAUGGUGAACUAUGCCUGAAUAGGGUGAAGCCAGAGGAAACUCUGGUGGAGGCUCGCAGCGGUUCUGACGUGCAAAUCGAUCGUCAAAUUUGGGUAUAGGGGCGAAAGACUAAUCGAACCAUCUAGUAGCUGG
rnacentral:rRNA from 12 species